CAAAAGACUGAGAAAGUGAGGCAGCUCAGUACCAUGCUGCCUUUCACUGGUUAAGACCUCCGAGAGCAAGAGUAGCCAAGGCAGAACAGGGUCUGCUUCUACCUUCAGAAGAGCAACAUUAUGCUGACGGACAUCUG